AGCGUAGGCGGACAUUUAAGUCAGAGGUGAAAUCCCGGAGCUUAACUUCGGAACUGCCUUUGAUACUGGUUGUCUUGAGUGUGAGAGAGGUAUGUGGAACUCCGAGUGUAGAGGUGAAAUUCGUAGAUAUUCGGAAGAACACCAGUGGCGAAGGCGACAUACUGGCUCAUUACUGACGCUGAGGCUCGAAAGCGUGGGGAGCAAACA
rnacentral:rRNA from 1 species